rnacentral:misc_RNA from 1 species
GAUGAAGAACGUAGUGAAAUGCGAUAAGUAAUGUGAAUUGCAGAAUUCAGUGAAUCAUCGAAUCUUUGAACACACAUUGCGCCCGCCAGUAUUCUGGCGGGCAUGCCUGUUCGAGCGUCAUUUCAACCAUCAAGCCCCAGGCUUGUGUUGGGGACCUGCGGCUGCCGCAGGCCCUGAAAACCAGUGGCGGGCUCGCUGUCACACCGGGCGUAGUAGAUUUUAUCUCGCUCAGGGCGUGCUGCGGGUUCCGGCCGUUAAAAAGCCUUUUUUACCCAAGGUUGACCUCGGAUCAGGUAGGAAGACCCGCUGAACUUAAGCAUAUCAAUAAGCGGAGGA